GCGAAUUCCGACUGGCAUUAGAUUUCGGUCUCCCGUCCCAGCUCCUCGGAUGCUCGGCGUCGGUCUUUCCAAGGCGGUUCUCGCCAUCGUGAGCCUCUUACGAGCUUCUGGCUAGUAUUCAGUGGUAUGCUAUUCACUCAUUUUUUGUACUUCUCCUCCUUGUUGUGGUUGCUGCUUCUGCUAUAUGUUAUUUUCUUGGUUAGAUGUCAUCACUUGGCUUCAGAGGAUCUGUUCGGCUUCAAGAAUUUUAGAUUGAAAGAACUAGGCCUUUAGUUUGAAGCCUGAAGUCGAGUUAUGUUUCAACUGGCGUGUGGAAGAAAGGGGCUGUGGCUUUAAUCUGAUGGAAUCUUUAGGAAUCUGUGAGGAGAACAGGGGCUGGACACCCUGUACUGUUGGCUUGCAAUUAUAAGAUUUUGGUGUCUUCUAAAUUGGAUAUAAGUUGGGUUACAAGGGAGCCGGAAUCAUUAAUGAAAUAUCUUUUUUAGCCGUUUGACAAGUUACCUACUUUUGUACAAAAUCUGGGGGCGUUUUGAUUCUCCUUCUCUUGCAACGCCUUCUCUCGGACCAUGAAGAAAUCUUUUCUUGUUGAACAAAUUAACCACUCAAUGCAAGGAAUUUUGACAGAUGGUACAAAGAAUUCAUCAUUUUAGUUCUGCUGCAGAGAAUCAAUUUUGUUGCAUUUUAAGGUCAAUGGAAAAUAAUCAUUUCUCAUGGUAUCUUGAUAUACAUUUUAAUCAUUUAGCUUUUCAUAUAACUAAUCUGUCCUUCAAGUUUAUCAUCUCUCCCUCACUCUUUCUUUUUAAUUUUUCAUCUUUCUCAUUGUUCUUUAUUCCACAAUCUUUUGAUACCAGGACAUCUACAACCAUGUCCAGAUUUUUGAUAGUUUAUUUCUUCACUUGGAUUAUAAAAUAGUUGGUUGCUUGGAGGUGUGCAUUAUCCAUGAUACAGGACAGGGAAUUAGCAGCGAUGAAGAUGGAAGCGAUAGGGAUGAAGACGCUGAUUCAAGGGGUUGAUCAUGAUGGAAACCCAACCAUGGAGUGCUGGAUUAAGAGUCCUUUUUGCAUUUGAGUUCUGGUUUAGCCAAGUCAAAAGUCCUUCUAAUAUUUUGUUCCUAAAUUAAGUCAGGAUUAGCAUCUUUGUUUGAUUAAGUUUCUGAGUUACGAGUCCUUGUUGGUUUAGCCUUAAGAUUUAGUUUUUCUUUGAGUUCGUUUGCGAUGAGUUACGGUGUGUGCGAUCCUAUAUAAGGAAUCGCAAGGAGGGCUCGUUCCUUCUUCUGCUUGGUCUUUGUUUUUUCAGCCAUCAAUGAAUGAAAAUU
rnacentral:lncRNA from 1 species